rnacentral:rRNA from 1 species
AUUGAACGCUGGCGGCAGGCUUAACACAUGCAAGUCGAGCGGGGGAGGUUGCUUCGGUAACUGACCUAGCGGCGGACGGGUGAGUAAUGCUUAGGAAUCUGCCUAUUAGUGGGGGACAACAUUCCGAAAGGAAUGCUAAUACCGCAUACGCCCUACGGGGGAAAGCAGGGGAUCUUCGGACCUUGCGCUAAUAGAUGAGCCUAAGUCGGAUUAGCUAGUUGGUGGGGUAAAGGCCUACCAAGGCGACGAUCUGUAGCGGGUCUGAGAGGAGGAUCCGCAACACUGGGACUGAGACACGGCCCAGACUCCUACGGGAGGCAGCAGUGGGGAAUAUUGGACAAUGGGCGGAAGCCUGAUCCAGCCAUGCCGCGUGUGUGAAGAAGGCCUUUUGGUUGUAAAGCACUUCAAGCGAGGAGGAGGCUCUUAAGGUUAAUACCCUUGAUGAGUGGACGUUACUCGCAGAAUAAGCACCGGCUAACUCUGUGCCAGCCGCCGCGGUAAUAC